rnacentral:rRNA from 1 species
UACGUAGGGUGCGAGCGUUAAUCGGAAUUACUGGGCGUAAAGCGUGCGCAGGCGGUCUGUUAAGACCGAUGUGAAAUCCCCGGGCUUAACCUGGGAACUGCAUUGGUGACUGGCAGGCUUUGAGUGUGGAAGAGGGAGGUAGAAUUCCACGUGUAGCAGUGAAAUACGUAGAGAUGUGGAGGAAUACCGAUGGCGAAGGCAGCCUCCUGGGCCAACACUGACGCUCAUGCACGAAAGCGUGGGGAGCAAACAGG